UUAUGUCUUUGUGCAGUUGCUACCUUUUCGGUUUUGCCACUAACCUUACUUUUCUCAGGGGGAUUUACACAUCGUAGAUUCAUUCAAGGACAUAGAGAGUGAAAGGGAUUUAAUUCCACUUCUGGAAAAAAGAGGCUGGAAUAAUGCUGUUCUUGUUGAUAGUGAGGCCAACUCCAAGCUAAGGCUUGCUGCUGUUGAGAUGGAUAAAGUGGAUGUUCUUUAUAGUUUAGCUUUGAAUGUGUACACAAUCUUGCAUCG